UACGGGGGGAGCAAGCGUUGUUCGGAUUUACUGGGCGUAAAGGGCGCGUAGGCGGCCAGCACAAGUCAGUUGUGAAAUCUCCGAGCUUAACUCGGAACGGUCAACUGAUACUGCUCGGCUAGAGUGCGGAAGGGGCAACUGGAAUUCUUGGUGUAGCGGUGAAAUGCGUAGAUAUCAAGAGGAACACCUGCGGCGAAGGCGGGUUGCUGGGCCGACACUGACGCUGAUGCGCGAAAGCUAGGGGAGCGAACGGG
rnacentral:rRNA from 1 species